AGAGUUUGAUCAUGGCUCAGGACGAACGCUGGCGGCGUGCCUAAUACAUGCAAGUCGAGCGAGCUUGCCUAGAUGAUUUUGGUGCUUGCACUAAAUGAAACUAGAUACAAGCGAGCGGCGGACGGGUGAGUAACACGUGGGUAACCUGCCCAAGAGACUGGGAUAACACCUGGAAACAGAUGCUAAUACCGGAUAACAGCACUAGACGCAUGUCUAGAGUUUGAAAGAUGGUUCUGCUAUCACUCUUGGAUGGACCUGCGGUGUAUUAGCUAGUUGGUAAGGUAACGGCUUACCAAGGCAAUGAUGCAUAGCCGAGUUGAGAGACUGAUCGGCCACAUUGGGACUGAGACACGGCCCAAACUCCUACGGGAGGCAGCAGUAGGGAAUCUUCCACAAUGGACGAAAGUCUGAUGGAGCAACGCCGCGUGAGUGAAGAAGGGUUUCGGCUCGUAAAGCUCUGUUGGUAGUGAAGAAAGAUAGAGGUAGUAACUGGCCUUUAUUUGACGGUAAUUACUUAGAAAGUCACGGCUAACUACGUGCCAGCAGCCGCGGUAAUACGUAGGUGGCAAGCGUUGUCCGGAUUUAUUGGGCGUAAAGCGAGUGCAGGCGGUUCAAUAAGUCUGAUGUGAAAGCCUUCGGCUCAACCGGAGAAUUGCAUCAGAAACUGUUGAACUUGAGUGCAGAAGAGGAGAGUGGAACUCCAUGUGUAGCGGUGGAAUGCGUAGAUAUAUGGAAGAACACCAGUGGCGAAGGCGGCUCUCUGGUCUGCAACUGACGCUGAGGCUCGAAAGCAUGGGUAGCGAACAGGAUUAGAUACCCUGGUAGUCCAUGCCGUAAACGAUGAGUGCUAAGUGUUGGGAGGUUUCCGCCUCUCAGUGCUGCAGCU
rnacentral:rRNA from 1 species